rnacentral:lncRNA from 1 species
UGCAGAAGUGGCAGACUCUUAAGCCAUGUGUCAAAUGAAUAUAGAAAAAAGAGGAACAUAGAGAGAAAGAAUGGGAGAGAAGAAAGAAAGAAAAUGGAAGAAAGAUAGAAGGAGAGAGUCAGAAAGUGAGGGGGGAAAGAAAGACAUAUCUAUAUUGCAGGUGGGACUGCAAUCCAGGUCUAGGUCAGCUCCAUCUAUCAAACUGCUGGUGAUGAGGCCAAAGCCAUGGAAAUACUAUGGGACCCUGUUACAUCUAUUUGUUUCACAAUGGAAAAUUGUAUCCUAAAGUCUAGUCCAUCAAAAAGAUGCAUGGUCUUGUUACCCUACAUAGACUUAACUCUUUGUGAUAAAAACUUGUGGUUGUUGCUGUACAUUCAUUUUCCAAGAGGACCAGUGCUAUCAUGAAUUAAUGUCUUAAUUUGUAUGUGAAUUAAGUGAGGUAGAAUUAUACACAAAUGUCAACCUUACUCUGUCUUCUGAAGUCAUAGAAGUAUAGUAGCAAGAGAAAAGUCAGGAUGAGUAGUAAUGGCUCAGGAUGCAGUGGAUGACCAUGGCAUCUUCAACUCCUGAAGUGCUUGCUUCAGCUGCUUUCAUGGCUAAUGGAACAAAAUGGUCUCAUAUACCACCCAUUCUGCAGUUUUCACUGAUUCUCAUCAUUUUCCCUAAUUUCUCUACCACAGAUAUUGAGCAACAAGAUAGUCUUCCUGAGAAGAAAGAAGACUCAAAGGAGGAAGAAAGUAUUAGAGGGAGAGAGAGAGAGAAAGAGAGAGAAGGAAAGAAGUUUAAAUACCCACUCUGGCUCAGGCUGAGCCAAAGCAGGCAUUAAGGCCCUGGAUAGCCAAUGCAAGGAAAGGGAUCAGUCCUUAUCACUCAUGUGACCAAUCUAAAGGAAAACAGUCAGCGGUGCUCCUCCAACCCCAAGCACCAGCCUCCAACUGACUCUCCCCUCCUCACAGGAAGUCCCG